rnacentral:rRNA from 1 species
UACGUAGGGGGCAAGCGUUGUCCGGAAUUAUUGGGCGUAAAGCGCGCGCAGGCGGUGAUUUAAGUUUGGUGUUUAAUCCCGGGGCUCAACCCCGGGUCGCACUGAAAACUGGGUCACUUGAGUGCGGGAGAGGAAAGUGGAAUUCCACGUGUAGCGGUGAAAUGCGUAGAGAUGUGGAGGAACACCAGUGGCGAAGGCGACUUUCUGGACCGUAACUGACGCUGAGGCGCGAAAGCGUGGGGAGCAAACAGG